rnacentral:rRNA from 1 species
UACGUAGGUGGCAAGCGUUGUCCGGAUUUACUGGGCGUAAAGGAUGCGUAGGCGGACAUUUUAAGUCAGAUGUGAAAUACCCGAGCUUAACUUGGGUGCUGCAUUUGAAACUGGGUGUCUAGAGUGCAGGAGAGGUAAGUGGAAUUCCUAGUGUAGCGGUGAAAUGCGUAGAGAUUAGGAAGAACACCAGUGGCGAAGGCGACUUACCGGACUGUAACUGACGCUGAGGCAUGAAAGCGUGGGGAGCAAACAGG